GUCACUGCGACACGUGCCAUCACGUCACUGGAUCGUGCGUAGAGUCUCUUCAAUGCCAUGAUGGGUACAAUAUGGACAAUGGUUUCUGUACACCCCACGAACGUACUACCUUGAGCGUGGUCGGAGUUGUUUGUGGUUGCCUUGCAGCUGUUGUUACCAUAAUUGGAAUUACUUUACUAACCGUAUAUUACAAGCGGCGACAACUUCAUUCCGCAAAAGGUCAUACUAAAUUAUCUACACCGGAUCAGAAAGAGACACGUUUCAACAAGGGAUUCGAUCAUAGCGAUCGGGCUAAUGAUGGCAAAAACGUCUUCGUACAAGAGAAAGCAGAAGUCGC